GCUGGCGUAGCUCGCGGCUUGAACACCUCGUUGUCAGCGAGGCGGUCGCGGGUUCGAGUCCCGUCGUCAGCG
rnacentral:tRNA from 1 species